UACGAGGGGGGCGAGCGUUGUUCGGAAUUAUUGGGCGUAAAGGGCGCGUAGGCGGUGCGGUAAGUCACCUGUGAAAUCCCUCAGCUUAACUGGGGAACUGCGUCUGAUACUGGAUGGCUUGAGUUUGGGAGAGGGAUGCGGAAUUCCAGGUGUAGCGGUGAAAUGCGUAGAUAUCUGGAGGAACACCGGUGGCGAAGGCGGCAUCCUGGACCAACACUGACACUGAGGAGCGAAAGCCAGGGGAGCAAACGGG
rnacentral:rRNA from 1 species